rnacentral:rRNA from 1 species
AACGAACGCUGGCGGCAGGCUUAACACAUGCAAGUCGAACGCCCCGCAAGGGGAGUGGCAGACGGGUGAGUAACGCGUGGGAACAUACCCUUUCCUGCGGAAUAGCUCUGGGAAACUGGAAUUAAUACCGCAUACGCCCUACGGGGGAAAGCUUAAUCGGGGAAGCGUUGGCCCGCGUUGGUUUAGCUUGUUGGAGGGGAAAAGGCCAACCAAGCUGAAGAUACAUUACAGGGCGGCAAGGAUGAUCAGGCACAUUGGGACUGAGACAAGGCCCAAACUCCUACGGGAGGGAGCAGUGGGGAAUAUUGGACAAUGGGCGCAAGCCUGAUCCAGCCAUGCCGCGUGAGUGAUGAAGGGAUUAGGGUUGUAAAGCUCUUUCACCGAUGAAGAUAAUGACGGUAGUCGGAGAAGAAGCCCCGGCUAACUUCGUGCCAGCCGCCGCCGUAAAAC